rnacentral:rRNA from 1 species
CCUACGGGGUGCAGCAGUAGGGAAUAUUGCUCAAUGGGGGAAACCCUGAAGCAGCAACGCCGCGUGGAGGAUGAAGGUUUUCGGAUUGUAAACUCCUUUUGUUAGAGAAGAUAAUGACGGUAUCUAACGAAUAAGCACCGUCUAACUCCGUGCCAGCAGCCGCGGUAAUACGGAGGGUGCAACCGUUACUCGGAAUCACUGGGCGUAAAGCGCGCGUAGGCGGGAUAGCAAGUCAGAUGUGAAAUCCUAUGGCUUAACCAGAGAACUGCAUUUGAAACUGUUAUUCUAGAGUAUGGGAGAGGUAGGUGGAAUGCUUGGUGUAGGGGUAAAAUCCGUAGAGAUCAAGAAGAAUACUCAUUGCGAAGGCGACCUGCUAGAACAUAACUGACGCUGAUGCGCGAAAGCGUGGGGAGCAAACAGGAUUAGAUACCCUUGUAGUC